UACGGGGGGGGUAAGCGUUGUUCGGAAUUACUGGGCGUAAAGGGCUCGUAGGCGGCCAACUAAGUCAGACGUGAAAUCCCUCAGCUUAACUGGGGAACUGCGUCUGAUACUGGUUGGCUUGAGUGCAGGAGAGGAACGCGGAAUUCCAGGUGUAGCGGUGAAAUGCGUAGAUAUCUGGAGGAACACCGGUGGCGAAGGCGGCGUUCUGGACUGCAACUGACACUGAGGAACGAAAGCCAGGGGAGCAAACGGG
rnacentral:rRNA from 1 species